UCACCCAAAAAUCGGCAGAAGAUUCCCCCAAAAUUCCCCCAAAAUUGGCAAAAAAUUGCCCCAAAAAUCGGCAGAGGAUUCCUCAAAAAUUCGCGCAAAAAUUCCCCCAAAAAUCGGCAGAAGUGUCCUCAAAUAUUCACCCAAAAUUCCCCCAAAAAUCGGCAGAAGAGUCCUCAAGAAUUCACCCAAAAAUUGGCAGAAGAUUCCUCCAAAAUCGGCAAAAAAUUCCUCCAAAAUUCGUGCAAAAAUUGCCCAAAAAUCAGCAAAAGAUUCCCCAAAAAUUCCCCCAAAAUUCCCCCCAAAAUCAGCAGAAGACUCCUCAAAAAUUCCCCCAAAAAUCGGCAAAAGAUUCCUCAAAAAUACCCCAAAAAAUCAGCAGAAGAGUCCUCAAAAGUUCCCCCAAAAUACCCCAAAUUCCCCCAAAAAUCAGCAGAAGGUUCCUCAAAAAUUCACCCAAAAUUCCCCCAAAAAUCGGCAAAAGAUUCCUCAAAAAUUCCCCAAAAAUUCCCCCCAAAAUCGGCAGAAGGUUCCUCAAGAAUUCACCCAAAAAUCGGCAAAAGAUUCCUCAAAAAUUCCCCAAAAAUUGGCAAAAAAUUCCCCAAAAAUCGGCAGAAGAGUCCUCAAAAAUUCACCCAAAAUUCCGCCAAAUUUCGGCAAAAAAUUCCCCAAAAAUCGGCAAAAGAUUCCUCAAAAAUUCCCCAAAAUUCCCCCAAAAAUCAGCAGAAGGUUCCCCAAAAGUUCCCCCAAAAAUUGGCAAAAAAUUGCCCAAAAAUCGGCAGAAGAUUCCUCAAAAAUUCCCCAAAAAUUCCCCCAAAAAUCGGCGAAAGAUUCCUCAAAAAUUCCCCAAAAAUUCCCCCAAAAAUCGGCAAAAAAUUCCUGAAAAAUUCCCCAAGAAAUUGGCAAAAUUUCCCCAAAAAUCGGCAAAAAAUUCCUCAAAAAUUCCCCCCAAAAUUGGCAAAAGAUUCCCCAAAAAUCGGGAAAAAAUUCCUCAAAAAAUUUCCCCCAAAACUUGGUGAAAAAUUCCCCAAAAAUCAGCAAGAAAUUCUUCAAAAAUUCCCCAAAAAUCGGCAAAAGAUUCUUCAAGAAUUCCCCCCAAAAUCGGGAAAAGAUUCCUCAAAAGUUCCCCAAAAAAUAGGCAAAAAAUUCCUCAAAAAUUCCCCAAAAAUUCCCCCAAAAAUCGGCAAAAGAUUCCUCAAAAAUUCCCCAAAAAAUCAGCAAAAAAUUCCUCAAAAAUUCCCCAACAAUCGGCAAAAGGUUCCUCAAAAAUUCCCCAAAAAUUCCCCCCAAAAUCGGCAGAAGGUUCCUCAAGAAUUCACCCAAAAAUCGGCAGAAGAUUCCUCCAAAAUCGGCAAAAAAUUCCUCCAAAAUUCGUGCAAAAAUUGCCCAAAAAUCAGCAAAAGAUUCCCCCAAAAUUCCCCCAAAAUUCCCCCCAAAA
rnacentral:lncRNA from 1 species